UUAGAGAGAAUUUUUUUCCUGAAAACAAAACAUUUAAAAUAAUCUUAUGGGUCUUUUAUUAUUUGAAUUCGAGAAAACCGAUUGUCAUAGCAGAACAUUAUUGAUUGUGCAUAUAUUUACAUUAACUUAAAUAAUCAAUGCGAGAAUCCUAUUUGCAUUAUUUUUAAUAUGUAUCAUAUUUUUGUCUAGGUUACUAGUUAUAUAUAUUUUAGAAUUCAAUGCUCUCAAUAAAGUUAGAAAUCUGUUUAGGGAUGAAUUUUAAAGUUAUAAUUUGUAUCACAGCGACAAAUAUUUAAUGCUCAAAAGCCUGUGCAAAUCAGGGUUAGGGAAUUUAAUUGAUUUUUUUGAAAUGUAAUAGUACCUUUCUUUGUGAAUAUGAAUCCAGAUGAUAUGAAAUAAGGUUACAAAAUAGAAGGAAUAGCAUUAGGUUGGAGUACCAAAAAAAAAAAAAAAUUCAG
rnacentral:misc_RNA from 1 species